AUACGUAGGGUGCGAGCGUUGUCCGGAAUUACUGGGCGUAAAGGGCGUGUAGGCGGCGGUGUAAGUCUGGAGUGAAAGUCCCGCAUUCAAUGUGGGAAUUGCUUUGGAUACUGCAGUGCUAGAGUGCGGAAGAGGUAAGUGGAAUUCCCAGUGUAGCGGUGAAAUGCAUAGAGAUUGGGAGGAACACCAGUGGCGAAGGCGACUUACUGGGCCGUAACUGACGCUGAGGCGCGAAAGCGUGGGGAGCGAACAGGAUUAGAUACCCUGGUAGUCCACGCGGUAAACGAUGAAUGCUAGGUGUUGCGGGUAUCGACCCCUGCAGUGCCUGAGUAAACACAAUAAGCAUUCCGCCUGGGGAGUACGGCCGCAAGGUUGAAACUCAAAGGAAUUGACGGGU
rnacentral:rRNA from 1 species